rnacentral:rRNA from 1 species
UACGUAGGGGGCUAGCGUUGUUCGGAUUCAUUGGGCGUAAAAGGGUGCGUAGGUGGCUAGGUAAGUCAGGUGUGAAAUCUCGGGGCCUCAACUCCGAAACUGCACUUGAUACUGCCUGGCUCGAGUACUGGAGAGGAGAUUGGAAAUUUACGGUGUAGCAGUGAAAUGCGUAGAUAUCGUAAGGAAGACCGUGGCGAAGGCGAAUCUCUGGACAGUUACUGCAUGAGGCACGAAGGCCAGGGAG